GUCCGAUGACACUUCAACUAGCUGUAUCCACUUUGCCCUUUCUCUUUCCCCAAACCCCGCACCGCAUCCCCCCGAACUCCCGAAGGCCCUUGACUGUCUGGAACAGCGCCAUCAGCUGGAUCGGUCCUCGAUCCCGUGACACCCAUGGGCGCCUCCACUCCUCGCCACCAUCCCAGCUCCCCCUUCCAGCGAUCCCUCCUCUCCAAGCGGAUCAUCACCUUGGCUCUAUACGCCCUGGUCCCGCUCGCCCUCCUCCACUACCUCCUCUCCUUCCCUCCCAUUCCAGCCCCAACCACCUCCUCCCCGCCACCGCCCAAAGUUGCUGCCGCCGCCGGCGGAGCAGCAAGAAAGAUCGCGGCGCCAAGGUGCGACUACUCGGAUGGGGCGUGGGAGCGGAGCGAGGCGGGCCCGCUGUACAACGGCACGAGCUGCGGCGAGACGAUCAAGGCCGCCCAGAACUGCGAGGCGCACGGGCGGCCCGACACGGGGUACCUCCGGUGGCGGUGGCGGCCGCGCGGGUGUGCGCUCCCGCCGUUCGACCCCGCCGAGUUCCUGCGCCUCGUCCGCGGCCGCCACGUCGCCUUCGUGGGCGACUCGCUCGCGCGGAACCAGUGCGAGUCCCUCGUGUGCCUGCUCAGCUCCGCGUUCCCGGCCCAGCUCGUGCGCGGCGCCGGCGGAGGCGACGGGGAUGGGGACGGCGACGAGCUCCGCAAGUUCCGGCGCUGGGUGUUCCCGUCGCACAACGCCACGGUGUCCGUGUUCUGGUCUCCGUUCCUGGUGAACGGCACGGAGAAGGCCAAGGGAGCGGCGGUGGGGCUGGACCACAACCGGCUGUACCUGGACCAGCCGAACGAGCGGUGGGCGGCGGAGGUGCCCGGCAUCGACGUGGUGGUGCUCUCCGCGGGGCACUGGUUCCUGCACUCGGCCCUCUUCUACGACCGCGGUGCCGUGGUCGGGUGCCACCACUGCCCGGAGCCCAACCGCACGGAGACGGGCUUCUUCGGCGCGUUCCGCCUCGCCGUCCGCGGCGCGCUGCGCGAGGUCGUCCUCCGCGGCGCCAGGGCGCGGCGCCAGGGUCGCAGGCCGAAGCUGGCCGUGCUGACCACGUUCUCGCCCGCGCACUUCGAGGGGGACUGGGACAGCCCCACCGCGUGCGCGCGCACCGUGCCGUACGCGCCCGGGGAGCGGGCGAUGGAGUACAUGGACGGCGAGAUGCUCCGCGCCGAGGCCGAGGAGGCGGCCGCGGCCGCGGCGGACGCGCGGGCGCGCCGGGCCGGCGUGACGGUGGAGACGCUGCAGGUGACGCGGAUGGCCGGGCUGCGCGCGGACGGCCACCCGGGAGCGUACAUGCACCCGUUCCCGUUCGCCGGCGGCGCGAGGGAGCGGGUGCCCAACGAUUGCGUGCACUGGUGCCUGCCGGGGCCCAUCGACACGUGGAACGAGAUACUGCUGCAGCUCGUCAAGCGGUGGGCGGACGGGGUCGACGCCGACGCCCUGUCCUCGUCGUCGCCAUGAAAGAUGGAAGCUACCGUCGGCGUCACCGCAAGAGGAGUCUGGAUUUGGGAGUUUGGUUCAAAUUAGUACUAUAGACUUGUUCGAACUAGAAUGUUUAGACCUUAAUUAUUUAGAGAGAUUCCAAGUCGAAACGGCAUCGCUACGAGGGUUUGACCAGGAAGUGUUACGAUGUUCUAACAAGUUGUUCUUGGACGGUUUUUGUUGUUCUCAUGCGCUUGUAGUAUUGUACUACAUCCAUUUUAAUUUAUAAUUUGUUUAACCCUUUUAUCUUAAGUGUAACCGAC
rnacentral:misc_RNA from 1 species